rnacentral:misc_RNA from 1 species
GAUGAAGAACGCAGCGAAAUGCGAUAAGUAAUGUGAAUUGCAGAAUUCAGUGAAUCAUCGAAUCUUUGAACGCACAUUGCGCCCGCCAGUAUUCUGGCGGGCAUGCCUGUUCGAGUGUCAUUUCAACCCUCAGGCCCCGCCUGGCGUUGGGGAUCGGCGCGGCCCUCUCCGGGCUGCCGGCCCCGAAAACUAGUGGCGGUCUCGCUGUAGUCCUCCUCUGCGCAGUAGCAACGCUCGCACUGGAACUCGGCGCGGCCACGCCGUAAAACACCCCACUUCUGAAAGUUGACCUCGGAUCAGGUAGGAAUACCCGCUGAACUUAAGCAUAUCAAUAAGCGGAGGA